GCCUCGGUAGCUCAGUGGUAGAGCACCUGCAUGGUAAGCAGGGGGUCGCGCGUUCAAUCCGCGUCCGAGGCU
rnacentral:tRNA from 1 species